GUGAGCUGCGGAGAACAUCGCGGGAACACUUGCUCCGAUUUCAAACGUAAAAAUUCCUUCAAAUUUUCCGAAACAAAUCAAAACGGCUGCAGCAGAAGAGGUGACUGACCCCGCGGCCCUUAAGGUGUGAAAGUGAGAAUGAUCAGUGCCAGCCUUCAGAAUGGAGAGGUGGCAGUGCCCAGUUUAAGCAGGGUCAUGGAACAACUCUUCUCUCCGUGAAAAGACCUCCAUGGAGACGAAAAAUAACUCUGGGCCAAGUCUCAGUAGAACCAUACCUUAACCCGACGUCACCAACCAAUAGGGAAGGACGCGUUUUCCAGUGGUCAUUCCAUUCUGCUCCACCAGGAUACGAAUCCUACCAAAAUGUGGCGGCACCUGUUCACACAUGUAGUGCCUUCAAAACUGCUUGUUAGAAAUACCGCUUGGUGGUUCAAAUUGCAUAAGCCCGUUGAUGAUGUCUUUUAACGUGGCGUUAAGUUGAUUGGACUUAACUGCAUGAGGUAACGCCAAGUAAGUGCUGGCCCUAAUGUAUUCUGUCGGAUUAUGCUAUCAAUGGUUCUGUACUUGAUGCCAUGAUGCUAAUAGCUCGUGAUUAAAGUGGGUGAUAGAAUGCUUGGUUCUUGGACUUUCUAUUUCCGGCUGUAGAAAC